UGGGGAAUCUUGCACAAUGGGGGAAACCCUGAUGCAGCGACGCCGCGUGAGCGAUGAAGGUUUUCGAAUCGUAAAGCUCUGUCCUAUGGGAAGAUAAUGACGGUACCAUGGGAGGAAGCCCCGGCUAACUACGUGCCAGCAGCCGCGGUAAUACGUAGGGGGCGAGCGUUGUCCGGAAUUACUGGGCGUAAAGGGUUCGCAGGCGGCAUGGCAAGUCCGAUGUAAAAGGCGAAGGCUCAACCUUCGUAAGCAUCGGAAACUGUCAAGCUUGAGUGAAGGAGAGGCAAGUGGAAUUCCUAGUGUAGCGGUGGAAUGCGUAGAUAUUAGGAGGAAUACCGGUGGGGAAGGCGACUUGCUGGACUUCAACUGACGCUGAGGAACGAAAGCGUGGGUAGCAAACAGG
rnacentral:rRNA from 1 species